rnacentral:rRNA from 1 species
GACGAACGCUGGCGGCGUGCUUAACACAUGCAAGUCGAACGGAAAGGCCCUGCUGUUGUGGGGUGCUCGAGUGGCGAACGGGUGAGUAACACGUGAGUAACCUGCCCUUGACUUUGGGAUAACUUCAGGAAACUGGGGCUAAUACCGGAUAGGAGCUCCUGCUGCAUGGUGGGGGUUGGAAAGUUUCGGCGGUUGGGGAUGGACUCGCGGCUUAUCAGCUUGUUGGUGGGGUAGUGGCUUACCAAGGCUUUGACGGGUAGCCGGCCUGAGAGGGUGACCGGCCACAUUGGGACUGAGAUACGGCCCAGACUCCUACGGGAGGCAGCAGUGGGGAAUAUUGCACAAUGGGCGGAAGCCUGAUGCAGCAACGCCGCGUGCGGGAUGACGGCCUUCGGGUUGUAAACCGCUUUCGCCUGUGACGAAGCGUGAGUGACGGUAAUGGGGAAAGAAGCACCGGCUAACUACGU